GUAGCCAAUUAAACUGUCGCUUUUUGUAUUAAAAGAGGAAAGUCCGGACAACGUAGAGUACCUUACUAUCUAACGGAUAGCUGUUUGUAAAAACAGAGUCAAGUAGAAGAAAACAACCGCCUUUUAAAAUUUUUUAAGGUAAGGGUGAGAAGGUGAGGUAAGAGCUUACCAGUCUUUACAGAAAUGUAAAAAGCUGUACUACUUAGGGGUUGCAAGGUCAUGUAUACCGACGAAUAAUAGGAUUACUCGUCCGAUGUCGGGGGGUAGACUGCUUGAAUUUAAUGGAUACAUUAAAUCUAGAUAAAUGACAGUUGCCUGAAUGAAUCUAUGAUUCAGGAACAGAAUCCGGCUUAUAGAUUGGCUACUUAU
rnacentral:RNase_P_RNA from 2 species